UACAACAUAGCGUUAAUGCAUUGGAUCCCAUUAUAGCUUCGCAAUUAAGUGCACUCAGGCUAGAGUAGCACUGGGAUGGGUGACUACCCAGGAAGUCAUAGUGUUUUAC
rnacentral:rRNA from 1 species